rnacentral:rRNA from 1 species
AUUGAACGCUGGCGGCAUGCCUAACACAUGCAAGUCGAACGCGAAAGUCCUUUGGGGCGAGUAGAGUGGCGGACGGGUGAGUAAUGCGUGGGAAUCUACCUGGCAGUGGGGGACAACCCGGGGAAACUCGGGCUAAUACCGCAUACGACCUACGGGUGAAAGGGGGGUUUCGGCCUCUCGCUGCGAGAUGAGCCCACGUCCGAUUAGCUAGUUGGCAGGGUAAGAGCCUACCAAGGCGACGAUCGGUAGCUGGUCUGAGAGGAUGAUCAGCCACACUGGGACUGAGACACGGCCCAGACUCCUACGGGAGGCAGCAGUGGGGAAUAUUGGACAAUGGGCGCAAGCCUGAUCCAGCAAUGCCGCGUGUGUGAAGAAGGCCUGCGGGUUGUAAAGCACUUUCAGUGGGGAAGAAGCGGUUUGGGUUAAUACCCUGGGCUGUUGACGUUACCCACAAAAGAAGCACCGGCUAACUCCGUGC